rnacentral:rRNA from 1 species
AAUUCCAGCUCCAAUAGUGUAUAUUAGAGUUGUUGCAGUUAAAAAGCUCGUAGUUGGAUUUCUGCUGUGGUCAUCCGGUACCGCCCGUACGGGUGCGCACCUGGUUUGGCUGCGGCUUUCUUCCUGUAGCCUUCCGCGCUUAAUUGCGUGUGUUGUGUUGCGGAACUUUUACUUUGAGAAAAAUAGAGUGUUUCAAGCAGGCUUGUCGCCCUGAAUACUUCAGCAUGGAAUAAUAGGAUAGGACCUUGGUUCUAUUUUGUUGGUUUCUAGGACCAAGGUAAUGAUUAAUAGGGACAGUUGGGGGCAUUCGUAUUUAACUGUCAGAGGUGAAAUUCUUAGAUUUGUUAAAGACGAACUACUGCGAAAGCAUUUGCCAAGGAUGUUUUCAUUAAUCAAGAACGACAGUAGGGGGUUUGAAGACGAUUAGAUACCGUCGUAAUCUCUACCAUAAACUAUGCCGACUAGAGAUAGGGAAACGCCUACCUUGGCUUCUCCUG